rnacentral:rRNA from 1 species
UACAGAGGGGGCAAGCGUUGUUCAGAAUUACUGGGCGUAAAGGGCGCGUAGGCGGCCUGUUAAGUCGAACGUGAAAUCCCCAGGCUCAACCUGGGAACUGCGUCCGAUACUGGCAGGCUUGAAUCCGGGAGAGGGAUGUGGAAUUCCAGGUGUAGCGGUGAAAUGCGUAGAUAUAGGAAGGAACACCAGUGGCGAAGGCGACCACCUGGACUGAUACUGACACUGAGGUGCGAAAGCGUGGGGAGCAAACAGG